rnacentral:rRNA from 1 species
UACGUAGGGUGCAAGCGUUAAUCGGAAUCACUGGGCGUAAAGCGCACGUAGGCGGCUUUUUAAGUCAGGGGUGAAAUCCUGGAGCUCAACUCCAGAACUGCCUUUGAUACUGGGAAGCUCGAGUCCGGGAGAGGUGAGUGGAACUCCGAGUGUAGAGGUGAAAUUCGUAGAUAUUCGGAAGAACACCAGUGGCGAAGGCGGCUCACUGGCCCGGUACUGACGCUGAGGUGCGAAAGCGUGGGGAGCAAACAGG